UCUGGAAUUAUUCUUACGAGGCCAGUGAUUUCACGCUGGGCUAAUUUCAGAGCUUGCGGUAAUCCAGACACCAAUGGAUCUGACGUUGACUUUAUCACUUUUGAAGACGUAAAAUUUGCCAAGCAACUCUCUAACUUAUCUGGCAGGUGGUGUGUGUUCAAGUCCUUCUGAAGGUGAUUUUUAAGUGUCAGAAACGAGAUGCUAAUUAUUAAAGGUGAGGAAGCCGGGGUUUGCGCCCAGGACCUGCAUCUCGCAGCUUCCCUGGGGCUGUUGACUCACCUGACGGUUGGAAGGGCAGUUACUACAAAGUCUUCUCAGGACCAGACUGCAUAAAGGCCGCAGUAAAUGUUCAGGGACGCCGCCUCUGGGCCAGCUCCGCCUCCCAGAUUUCUGCUUGUCUGCUCCGGGCAAGCAUGGAGGGGACAUCAUUAAUUCCUGCCACCAGCGAUAUUAAUGGUACGAUUGCACCGAGUUGAUAUAAAACUGGCAAGAAAUGAGUCGUCUCUGAGGACGCUUGUCCCUGCUCGAGCUCGCCGGGGUGCCAACCGCGUCGUGAAUGCCCUCUUCCCGUGUCGCCUAAGGCAGCCACAGGUUCUGGGAUCAGGACCAGGAUGCCCUUGGGGGCUCUUACUGUGCUGACCCCACAGAGCAACCUUUGGGGAUGCCGUUUGGGUUUCUGCUGAUGGGACAGAAGCGUCACGUGGCUUUGCCGAAGCAGCCUCCGUGGCCAGCCAGAAACGGACGCUUUGGGGGUCUCUCUGGGCAAGCAUUUAAUUCCUCGCUCUGGAGAGAACCCCAGUGAUUUGCCUGCGGGAACCCCGUGCUCUGCGCUGGAUGAGGCCGGCUUAUCCUUGCUGAGGCCCUCGUCCGAGCCCCGGACUCCGGUCUCAGCGAUGGACACCCAAGGCCAGGCUGUCGCUCCCCCAAAGACUGGCUUUAGGGGCAGCGAUGCACGCGAGGGAGUGGCAUCCUGAUGGUGAGGGGCGUCACCCCGUCAAGUCCUCCAGUGGCGUCUGGGGGUGUGCGUGCUAGGCCGCUAGCGUCCGAAUCCUGGCGGGGCGGGGGGCGUGGUCAGUAGGCAGAAUCGUCGCGUCCAGUUGCUGGGGCUGGGGAGCUCGUGUUGUUUUCAUAACCAUCUUCCCGUGUGACUUCUGUGCACAAAUGGAGCUUCAGAGCCCCAGCUCACGGGCAGCGGCCUUGUUGCGGGGAGCGGAUGAGUCUCGGAAGCCGUGUUGGCCCGUCUCCCUCAACGGCCGCUCCGGACACCCCAGCGUCCCAGGAUGAAGGUGGAAGGUGGCGCCUCCCGGGUUUCCUCAAGCCCGGACCGCAGCCGAUACGGACCCAAUCUGGGAAACGACGCUGUGUCGUGAAGGACGCGCCCUCGCUGCGGUUUUUGCAACGAGCUUGUCGGCUGGAAUUAGCUGUUGUUGGAGCCGGUAGGGGGUCGACCACCCUCAGGGAGUCCCUCCUCCCACCCGAGUACCCUUGCCGCGUCCACGCGUCUCCUUUCUGACUCGCGACGCCUGCGCGGCACACCGUCGUCGGACCGGGCCACACUGGACCCGAGCACCUCCCUUGUGCGGGGUCUUCAGGCUGAACCGCCCCUUCUUCGCGAGCGAGCCUUUGUGGCGACCGGACGUGGAGGUGACCGUGCGUAGUGGCUGUGCCGAGCCAUCCAACGUGCGCCGUAUUUCGUCUCGCCCACGAGGGAACAUUCUAGACUGACGUCGUUUCGGAUGUGUGUCACGGAGGUUCUGGCGCCGGGACCACCAGAAUGUAACUGUUUUUAUGAAGAUCCACGAUGCUGACCUUGACAAAGCCUUCCUCCGCGAGUCGGGGAUAAGACGGCGAGUGGGUGGACCGCAAUGCCGUGUCCAAGCACCGGGAGACUUACUCAGGGGACGAGGUGGAUGAAAGAGCCCUCUGGACAGACUGACUCCUAGGGAGGGUUGUUAAAGAGUGUCUGAGAGGCGACGUGGCCCUGGGCUUCCAUCUGACUGCCUAACUGCCUUCACUAAUCAUGCUGAGAUCAAGCGGAUAAAAAGACCCUCCAAGGUCAGAAGUGUUGGCUAGUACUUCUCAUUUUGGAAUAUUCUGGUCAGCAAUCCAUAAAACCUGGCUUGAGACUCUCCUCCUGCAGGAAGGCCUCCUGGAUUCCUGCCCUAACCUUCAGCUGAGCUCAUGUCGCCCGUCAAAUAGGCGCCUUCUCCAGUAACCUCAGGAUCCGGACGAGUGGUGUCACCAUCUCCCAGCCUCCCAGGCUAGAAGCCCCCCAGUCCUGGAAAGCAUCCUGGCCCCUGGGCAUGCUGACAUUUACUGCCGUAACAGGAUUUCACACUCUCGAAAUCUGCACGGCAGCCUCUGUUCCUGGAAGUUCCAGAGAAAUUAAGGGAGGCUGUGAGCUCAGGUUCUGACCUUUGGGCAGAGGAUGGGGCAGGGAGCACUGGUCUUCAAAGCUGGCUUUGAUCUCCCGGGACUAGGUGUCCUGGGAUGCAAGCCAGCUGUGCCACUGGUGGCCUGGGAACCCCGGGACAGGGCACCUGACUCAGCCACUGUGACCCCUCCAUCCCCGCCCCCGCCCAGCUUCCGCUAAAAGCACCAACCUCCUUACCUUAGGUCAUGAGCAGGUAAUGGUGGGGGACAGGCUUGGCAAAAUACACAAGCCCUAUAGACUCUUAGGGUCCCCUCCAGGUUCAAGGUCGGUAGCUCUGAGUGAAAUACACGCGAAUUAGGAAAGGAGACCAGACUGAAUUUAGUCAUUCUGCUUCACCCCUGCUGGGGCUGUCCCGAGACCCGUCCAGCCACCCACACCCUCGCGUGGGAGAACGGGCUCUGGGCCCAGGCGUGUGCUGACAGGCCUGUGAGCCCGGGGUGGGCGGCCCCCGGUUCUCCACGGCCCCUGCAGACGGACAGCAGCCGGCCAACUGGACGACCAAGGAGCAGAGCAGUGGGCGUGAGGGCGGUGAGGGCGGCGGGCAUCCUCUGGGCCCUCGGGCCUUUUGUCCCCGAACCGAGGCUCUGAGACUUUCAACCGAGUGGCGGAGCCGCGCUGUCCCCCAGGAUAAGAACGGGGCAUCUGUGCGGGGCCUCUGGACACCGGGUCCCACCCUCCUGGGAGAGAGCGCGAGCAGCGUGCUUGGUGACGGGGGUCUUUGUCGGGUCAGUGAGGACCUCGCCAGGUUCGUUCCCAUUUUCAAGUAAGGUCACAUUCGCAGGUAGGGGGGACUCGGACAUAGCUUUCGGGCGCCAGGACCCCAUCCGCCGGCCUGGUCCUCGGGCUCUCAGUCUUGAACAUCAGUCCCUUGGUGGAUAUAGAUGGGGCUGAAGCGACUCUUGGAUUCGCGCCGCCUGGGGACUCAGAGAUGAAAAGACCCCUGUGGUCUUUCUGCCCGGUCUCCUCUCGUGAACCUGAGCGUCGCGGGAGGGGAUGUCCUGUGUGCACCGAGAGAGGAGGGCAAGCGUCCAGGUGCCCACAUCUGUGCCGGGUCCUCACAAUCAGAAACAAAUGCCAAGUGGACUUUGGGUUGAUGGACCCCUGUCAUCACGGCCUACCAUGUGCAUGGAUUUAGGGGCUUGGCGGACCCUGGUGAACCACGUCUGGUCAAGGAAGGUGCGCGUGAACAAAAUUCACUUGGAGACGUGCCACGAGACGCCCUCGUGCCGUGUUCGGUGGGGGCCGGCUUCUGGGAGCGCCUUGCGCCCCGCACGGCUGGGCUGAGGUCGCCUCGGGAACAGAAUAGCUAGAGUAGGUGGUCGUAGGUUAAAAUUUUGCAGAUUAAAGCUUAUUGUACCAUUUCAACAACAGGAGGCAUCCUCGUACCAGAGAGUUUUUGACUGGCUGCUCAGUUGGGAGAGUCCUCAAGCAAGGAAUGGUGUUUUUUAAAGGUCUAGAAAUGUCUGCAUUUCACACAGAAACGUGUACGCUUUUCACCUUUAUCUUUGUUAGCGCAGGGUCAUGGCCUUUGCUUGGAGAACCGGUCUGCUGCUGGGAACGGUCUGCCCUUCCCGGCACAAACCACACAGGCGGUUAUGGUGUGGGAUGUGUGUGUAGCAUUGGUAACUAAAUCCCGGGGAGGGGUGGGACAUACUCACGGAUAAAGGCACUGGGGAGCUGUCUGGGGUUCCGGAAUGUUCGCCCUCCUAAACACACGGUAGCCAUACAAGCUGUACGAUUAAGAUUAGUUUUAUCAGGGCGCCUGGGUGGCUGAAUCAGUUAAGCGUCCGACUCUUGAUUUCGGCUCCCGUCACGAUCUCAGGGUCGUGGGAUAGAGCCCCAUGCCGGGCUGCAUCCUGGGCCUGGGGCCUGCUUGAGAUUCUCUCUCUCUCACUCCCCCUCUCUCUCUUCCUCUGCAGCCCCCUCAGAAGAAAGAUUAGCUGUAUGGAUUUUAUACCUCAGUAAGGAAAUUUUAAAAAUAAGGGGGAGUGAGAACUAAAGACAUAAUAUACUCCUAGUGUGGAGUUCUACAUUUUUAAAAAAAAAUUUACGUUUAUUUAUUUUUGAGAGAGAAAGAGAGAGAGAGAGAGCACGUGCAAACAGGGGAGGGGCAGAGAGAGAGGGAGACACAGAAUCGGAAGCAGGCUCCAGGCUCCAAGUUGUCAGCACAGAGCCCGACAUGGGGCUCGAACCCACGGACCGCGAGAUCAUGACCUGAGCCGAGGUCGACGCUCAACUCAUCGCUUCUGUAAAUCUGCACGUUAUUCCGUCUUGAUUUUGUGGAAGGCGGAGCGUCCCCGCGCCAACACCCUGUGUGUGGACCGAGAGCACACAGGCUGCCCCCCCAGUUGGCCGUCCCCACGCGGCUGUGAUCUGGCCUCUGCCUGGGUGCUCCAUUUUGCCUCAGUUUACCCCCUGGUGAGUAGGAAUACGAGCGUGGCCUUACCACAAACACCCGCAGAGACUACUUGGUGAAACCCAGACGUCACCCAGGGCUGCUCUGGGGAAACCGUGUGGGCGUCAGGGAGGUGACCCCCCCCGCCCCUCCGUGGGCGUGGGCAGAGCCCGGGGUCAAUGCGGAAACAGUUCUCACGUCAUUCCACCGCUGCCACGCUGGCCUCGGUACCGUGGCCUCUUCCAGGACCGAGCUUCAAGUCCCCGCUGUGGCAGGCAGGGGGGAGAAGAGCGGGAAGGGGGAGGGAAGCAGGGAGCAAACCCAGGGGCGAACUGGGCCCGGGGCGUCCUCCCCACCCGGGCCCUGAGUGGGGCUCGCUCCCCUUCGAAGGCUUGUCCACCAGCAGGAACGACGUUCAGAAGCACGGCUGCGGUGUAAGGCAUUGUUAGGGACCGCGUUACGCCCCCCACCCCCGGGACCUCGAAGGUGACCUUCUGUGGAAAGAGGGGCCUCGCGGGCCAUUCGUUCGGAUGCGGCAGACCGGGCUGGCCGCAAGCAGUAUCUGGGCUUGGACGCGGGCGCCCGCGCGGGGAGGUCCCCCAUGGGAAGACGAAGACAGACGGACGUCCCCACGACAAGGACGGAGCCUCGGGAGGAAGCUGUGGGCUGGUCUCGGACCUGCGGACCCCGGGCCGUGUAUUUGCCCGAGCAAACCAGUGCCCACGCACCACACGCUUGUCAGCCACGGGCGGUGGCACCCCCCGUGACUGCAAACCACAGAGCCGGCCGUCAGAGACGGCUCUUAAAGUGUUAAAAGUGUCGUCUGAGAGGACGCGGGCCAGUGAGCGUCAGUGACGAACACGCCGGCGUCUGACACAGCACGGCCUGCCCGCCGGGGCGGAUCCCGGCUCUGCCCCUUCCCAGCUGUGGGACCCAGGGCUGGUGCCUUCACGUCUCUGUGCUCCGUGUGUAAACGGUUGGCGAAACACAAAGCUUACCUCGUGGCGUGGCCUGGGGAUCAAGUUCGUUAACAUUUGCCAAGGGCUUAGCGCGGCGCCUGGGAAAUGGAGGGCACGCGGUGUUUGCUGUUCUCUCCCUCACCCGAGAGGCCCGGUGACAGGCGACAAGGGUCGCUUGUUGCGGGCGGGCAGAGCUGUGGUCCCGAGUGUGGGGCUCACGCACUCAGCGCCAGGAACUCUUCACACGGUUGGGACUUAGGGGGCCCCAAGGAGGGUCGGUUCAUGUGGCUUAUACCUAAGGAGGUCGGCCUCGUUAGAGGUUACCAAUGACAAGUUUUCUAGAUUAGAAAAUAAAGCCAAGAACACUUAACAAUGUUUAUUAAUUCAUUUAAAAAUCACAGCCAUUAACCCUUUGUAUGUUUUUUAAAAAUUUACUUUUGAGACCGAGAG